rnacentral:lncRNA from 1 species
UAUAUAGAUUAGACCGUUGGUUUUCCCGUUUGAAUGGUUUUACACUAGUAAUUUUGGGGCCCUUUAUAGCUUGUUGUUCGGUGUGAGCCAAGGCUCCGUGUUGAAGGCCGUACUUUAACCUAUAAUGGUUUACUUUUUAAUUGUUAUUUGUAUGGAGAGUUGUCUCAUUGGCACUCACACCACAUCUUCCUAUAUCUAUAUAUACUUAACAUACAAUAAUAAAAUUCACAGACAUGUCUUUAAAUUUCAUGCAGGACUUCUGAUCCAACCAUGUAGUAUGGCAUGUAAUUGAGAUAUGGUUU